UUCUUCUUCUUCUUCUUCUUUCGUCCAAGAUUGAGAAGUGAUAUCAGUAGACAAAUAGGAUGGCUGGAUCCAACCAGCACUCAUCAAUAAGAAAGCAGCAGCAUAGGGCAGCAACGGAACAUCUUCUAGUGAGUGGAGAAAUCAUAACAAAAACCAUACUUAUUGGACUAACGAAGAUGGAGAUAUCUGCACUGGUGUUGGCUUGUGGUUUGUGGGUCGGAGCUGACGGAACAUAUCGUAAGUGCAAGAUUUGAUCUUGUAUGGGCUAUCCAUUGGCAUUGCAUUUCGUGAAGUGCUUCACAGUUCUGUCUUCGGGACUUUGUGUGGUUUGCCAUGUCAAUUUCUCGUUCUGCUUUGACAUAAACACUUUCAAGCCUGAAAUUUUGAUUGCAGCUUCCGAGCAGAUCAAGUGUGUUCAAAGGCAGCAAAUACUUCAAGAUCGAUCACUGAUAUCAGCCGACAGAUAGGAUGGCUGGAUCCAAGCAGCAAUCAUCAGUAAGAAACCAGCAGCAAGGGCAGCAAGGCUGCAAAACAAAGCUUUCUAAUUAGUGGAGAAAUCAUCACAAAAACCAUAAGAAGACAUACAUAGGGAGGCUACUGCCACCACAACCACCCACCUUCACGACAAACUGUUGUUGUGGGAUUAGACGCAGGAAAUCUAAUUGCUGGAGCUACGCAUGGGGAAGAUGUCUAAUGGUGCAGUGCUCCAAGGGAUGUGCAUACCUGUGCAACUGAUGUUGUAGAGAUUGGCAUUGAUGGUGGCCUCCUCUGUACAGACUUGCUCUAACUUCCAAACCAAUAUAUUGUAUCGAAAUGUCAACAGAGACAAUCGAACUAUGGUUUGCUUGAGCAUCGAGAGAAUAGAUACUAGUUUUUUUUAACUGAAUCUUUAAUUUGGUGGUGUUGUAUAGUUAUUGCCAAUUUGCCAGUGGUGUGUAGAUAUUGUUAAAUAUAUGAUCAGUGAGUGAGUUAGCACCAGUGGUGUGUAGAUGUUGCUAAAUAUAUGAUCAGUGAGUGAAUUAGCAGUGUCAUGGUUUGUGUGUACCACAGGAA